rnacentral:rRNA from 1 species
AUGCCCUGGCAGUCAGAGGCGAUGAAGGACGUGCUAAUCUGCGAUAAGCGUCGGUAAGGUGAUAUGAACCGUUAUAACCGGCGAUUUCCGAAUGGGGAAACCCAGUGUGAUUCGUCACACUAUCAUUAACUGAAUCCAUAGGUUAAUGAGGCGAACCGGGGGAACUGAAACAUCUAAGUACCCCGAGGAAAAGAAAUCAACCGAGAUUCCCCCAGUAGCGGCGAGCGAACGGGGAGGAGCCCAGAGCCUGAAUCAGUGUGUGUGUUAGUGGAAGCGUCUGGAAAGGCGCGCGAUACAGGGUGACAGCCCCGUACACAAAAAUGCACAUGCUGUGAGCUCGAUGAGUAGGGCGGGACACGUGGUAUCCUGUCUGAAUAUGGGGGGACCAUCCUCCAAGGCUAAAUACUCCUGACUGACCGAUAGUGAACCAGUACCGUGAGGGAAAGGCGAAAAGAACCCCGGCGAGGGGAGUGAAAAAGAACCUGAAACCGUGUACGUACAAGCAGUGGGAGCCUCUUUAUGGGGUGACUGCGUACCUUUUGUAUAAUGGGUCAGCGACUUAUAUUCUGUAGCAAGGUUAACCGAAUAGGGGAGCCGAAGGGAAACCGAGUCUUAACUGGGCGUUAAGUUGCAGGGUAUAGACCCGAAACCCGGUGAUCUAGCCAUGGGCAGGUUGAAGGUUGGGUAACACUAACUGGAGGACCGAACCGACUAAUGUUGAAAAAUUAGCGGAUGACUUGUGGCUGGGGGUGAAAGGCCAAUCAAACCGGGAGAUAGCUGGUUCUCCCCGAAAGCUAUUUAGGUAGCGCCUCGUGAAUUCAUCUCCGGGGGUAGAGCACUGUUUCGGCAAGGGGGUCAUCCCGACUUACCAACCCGAUGCAAACUGCGAAUACCGGAGAAUGUUAUCACGGGAGACACACGGCGGGUGCUAACGUCCGUCGUGAAGAGGGAAACAACCCAGACCGCCAGCUAAGGUCCCAAAGUCAUGGUUAAGUGGGAAACGAUGUGGGAAGGCCCAGACAGCCAGGAUGUUGGCUUAGAAGCAGCCAUCAUUUAAAGAAAGCGUAAUAGCUCACUGGUCGAGUCGGCCUGCGCGGAAGAUGUAACGGGGCUAAACCAUGCACCGAAGCUGCGGCAGCGACACUAUGUGUUGUUGGGUAGGGGAGCGUUCUGUAAGCCUGUGAAGGUGUGCUGUGAGGCAUGCUGGAGGUAUCAGAAGUGCGAAUGCUGACAUAAGUAACGAUAAAGCGGGUGAAAAGCCCGCUCGCCGGAAGACCAAGGGUUCCUGUCCAACGUUAAUCGGGGCAGGGUGAGUCGACCCCUAAGGCGAGGCCGAAAGGCGUAGUCGAUGGGAAACAGGUUAAUAUUCCUGUACUUGGUGUUACUGCGAAGGGGGGACGGAGAAGGCUAUGUUGGCCGGGCGACGGUUGUCCCGGUUUAAGCGUGUAGGCUGGUUUUCCAGGCAAAUCCGGAAAAUCAAGGCUGAGGCGUGAUGACGAGGCACUACGGUGCUGAAGCAACAAAUGCCCUGCUUCCAGGAAAAGCCUCUAAGCAUCAGGUAACAUCAAAUCGUACCCCAAACCGACACAGGUGGUCAGGUAGAGAAUACCAAGGCGCUUGAGAGAACUCGGGUGAAGGAACUAGGCAAAAUGGUGCCGUAACUUCGGGAGAAGGCACGCUGAUAUGUAGGUGAAGUCCCUCGCGGAUGGAGCUGAAAUCAGUCGAAGAUACCAGCUGGCUGCAACUGUUUAUUAAAAACACAGCACUGUGCAAACACGAAAGUGGACGUAUACGGUGUGACGCCUGCCCGGUGCCGGAAGGUUAAUUGAUGGGGUCAGCGCAAGCGAAGCUCUUGAUCGAAGCCCCGGUAAACGGCGGCCGUAACUAUAACGGUCCUAAGGUAGCGAAAUUCCUUGUCGGGUAAGUUCCGACCUGCACGAAUGGCGUAAUGAUGGCCAGGCUGUCUCCACCCGAGACUCAGUGAAAUUGAAC